rnacentral:sRNA from 1 species
UGGUACUACCCAUAUAGGUGCUGACCAU